AAGGAGGAUGCCGAAAAUCCUGAAGAGAGUAAGCG
rnacentral:ncRNA from 1 species